GACGAACGCUGGCGGCGUGCUUAACACAUGCAAGUCGAACAGAAAGGCCCUGCUUGCAGGGUACUCGAGUGGCGAACGGGUGAGUAACACGUGGGUGAUCUGCCCUGCACUUCGGGAUAAGCCUGGGAAACUGGGUCUAAUACCGGAUAGGAGCCAUUUUUAGUGUGAUGGUUGGAAAGUUUUUUCGGUGUAGGAUGAGCUCGCGGCCUAUCAGCUUGUUGGUGGGGUAAUGGCCUACCAAGGCGGCGACGGGUAGCCGGCCUGAGAGGGUGGACGGCCACAUUGGGACUGAGAUACGGCCCAGACUCCUACGGGAGGCAGCAGUGGGGAAUAUUGCACAAUGGGCGCAAGCCUGAUGCAGCGACGCCGCGUGGGGGAUGACGGCCUUCGGGUUGUAAACUCCUUUCGCUAGGGACGAAGCUUUUUGUGACGGUACCUAGAGAAGAAGCACCGGCUAACUACGUG
rnacentral:rRNA from 1 species